CCCCAAUUUCAUGAGCAUUCAUUGCCCAUCAUACAAUUGCCAUACCCAGAUGUGGGCCUCGGGGCAAAAAGUUUGCCCACCCCGAUCUAAUCCUUAGCCA